rnacentral:rRNA from 1 species
UGCACGAAGUUGGAAUUGCUAGUAAUCGUGGAGCAGCAUGCCACGGUGAAUACGUUCCCGGGUCUUGUACACACCGCCCGUCACACCAUGGGAGCCGGUAAUACCCGAAGUCAGUAGUCUAACCGCAAGGAGGACGCUGCCGAAGGUAGGAUUGGCGACUGGGGUGAAGUCGUAACAAGGUACC